AUAUUUACCACGCAAGAGUGAUUCCGUGAUCAAGAAGGUGGUUUUGCCAGGGCAAGGCUUAUCCAUUGUAUUCUCAAUGGAUUGACCCCUGUGAUUUCCCCAAAUGUGUGAAACUUGGCUUCAUAAUUUGUGGUAGUGGGGGACUGUGUUUGCACUCUCCCCUU
rnacentral:snRNA from 1 species